CCCCCCUCUCAUUCUUUCCUGGUCAGGAGACGGACAUAUAGCUCCAGAAAUCAUCCUCUGCAUUAUUGAAAAAGAGGAGAGUAGCAGCAAAAAGUGAAGGGGGAGAGGGGUGGGGAGCCGGAGACAACACAACACAUUUUGCAAAUCCCUCCCUUUCGGGACCCGGGGUACUGGAGUAAGAAUGGGCACUGACUAGCCGGACAUUCCUAAGGCAGAUGAUGGUUUUUGCAAAGUCCUGGCAUCCAAGAUGGAAGAAAAGUGGGGAGUUUGUUUCUAUCUUUGGUUAUCUAGCUGUAUGAGUGUAAAUCAGCCGUCAUAAAGCUAGAUAACCGAAAGUAGGGAUAACUUCCGUGACGUCAUAGACCACAAUGGUGUAGGAAACUGAAGACUCUUGCAGAUGUUAUACAAACCUUGGUCUCCAAAACAUCCACUGCCAAAAGUAUUCAUCAGUAAAAUAUGACUCCUCUGUCGAGACCCUUGGAUACAAUAACCACAGCUCAACAAGGGCACAGAGAGAAUUAAAAUUGCAUGGCAGGAAGCCAGUGAACAAGCGGGCCUAAAAUUCAAUAUGGCUUCCAGUAUGCAGUGAAAGAGGCAAGAGGAAUCUGAGGCCUUGAUGCAGGACGCAGCUUCCUGAUUACCAGGCAGUGAAAUCAGCAAUAUUCACAGCUUGUUAAUUUGAAUAUAUGCUUAAAAGCUUUAUCACCAUGAGGUACUGUUAUUGAUCAACAAUGAAAGAGACAAGUAAAAUUAAAUGCUGUGGACAACAUUGCCGUCUUGCAUAAUCCACUCCCAGGACCUGCCCUGUAGAUGGAGGCCAUUUUGAUGGAAUCAAGGGACACUUAAGAUGGCUGCUUUAGCACAAGUUGAUGAGGAAGUCCCAGGAUCACAGCACUCUGUAUUGCACUGGCUGACCUCACAUCUCAGAGACAUCCUCCAGGUCUCCGAGAUGAAUGUCCACAAAGAGCCAGCCACAGCCAAGCAGCAUUCUAACAACACAGAGCGAGCAUGCAAUGGAUGGGGACAUAAUGAAGCCUCUUUAUAUUCGUGUUUAAUUAAAUAAAAGUCACAUUCCCACGCUUCUUUAUUUCAUUUCAUACUAUAUUAGGUUUUACACUGUUCCAGUGCCAAAUUAUUGCAUACGUGUACAUAUUAUUAUUAUUAUUAUUAAAUUAAUG